AGAUGUGAGGGCGAUCUGGCUGCAAUAUCUGUCACCUCAUUGAUCGCCAGGAUUGAUUUGGCUGAUCUGGCUGGCUAGUCAGGUGUCCCCUUCCUCCCUCACUGCUCCGUGUGAGUCCCUCCCAAAGCUGCGUCCUUGGUCGAAGAGGACAACCAUCUCCAAUAGAGGAGGACCAGUCUUUGGUCAAGGGUAUAUGAGUAGCUGCGCUCCUCUGCUAGAACCUCCGAACAAGCUCUUAAAAACAGGUUGUAUGCUGGCUUUGGCACAGACCUUUGCUUGCCAGCCUCUGUUUUUAGAGGGAUCAUUCUG
ensembl:misc_RNA 7SK 7SK RNA